GAUGAAGAACGUAGCGAAAUGCGAUACGUAAUGUGAAUUGCAGAAUUCAGUGAAUCAUAGAAUCUUUGAACGCACAUUGCGCCUGCCAGCACUCUGGCAGGCAUGUCUGUUCGAGCGUCAUUUCAACCAUCAAGCCCCCGGGCUUGUGUUGGGGACCUGCGGCUGCCGCAGGCCCUGAAAAGCAGUGGCGGGCUCGCUGUCACACCGAGCGUAGUAGAUUUUAUCUCGCUCUGGGCGUGCUGCGGGUUCCGGCCGUUAAACCACCCUUUUAACCCAAGGUUGACCUCGGAUCAGGUAGGAAGACCCGCUGAACUUAAGCAUAUCAAUAAGCGGAGGA
rnacentral:misc_RNA from 1 species